rnacentral:rRNA from 1 species
AGAAGAAGCACCGGCUAACUCCGUGCCAGCAGCCGCGGUAAUACGGAGGGUGCGAGCGUUAAUCGGAAUUACUGGGCGUAAAGCGCAUGCAGGUGGUUUGUUAAGUCAGAUGUGAAAGCCCGGGGCUCAACCUCGGAAUUGCAUUUGAAACUGGCAGACUAGAGUACUGUAGAGGGGGGUAGAAUUUCAGGUGUAGCGGUGAAAUGCGUAGAGAUCUGAAGGAAUACCGGUGGCGAAGGCGGCCCCCUGGACAGAUACUGACACUCAGAUGCGAAAGCGUGGGGAGCAAACAGGAUUAGAUACCCUGGUAGUCCACGCCGUAAACGAUGUCUACUUGGAGGUUGUGGCCUUGAGCCGUGGCUUUCGGAGCUAACGCGUUAAGUAGACCGCCUGGGGAGUACGGUCGCAAGAUUAAAACUCAAAUGAAUUGACGGGGGCCCGCACAAGCGGUGGAGCAUGUGGUUUAAUUCGAUGCAACGCGAAGAACCUUACCUACUCUUGACAUCCAGAGAACUUUCCAGAGAUGGAUUGGUGCCUUCGGGAACUCUGAGACAGGUGCUGCAUGGCUGUCGUCAGCUCGUGUUGUGAAAUGUUGGGUUAAGUCCCGCAACGAGCGCAACCCUUAUCCUUGUUUGCCAGCGAGUAAUGUCGGGAACUCCAGGGAGACUGCCGGUGAUAAACCGGAGGAAGGUGGGGACGACGUCAAGUCAUCAUGGCCCUUACGAGUAGGGCUACACACGUGCUACAAUGGCGCAUACAGAGGGCGGCCAACUUGCGAAAGUGAGCGAAUCCCAAAAAGUGCGUCGUAGUCCGGAUUGGAGUCUGCAACUCGACUCCAUGAAGUCGGAAUCGCUAGUAAUCGUGGAUCAGAAUGCCACGGUGAAUACGUUCCCGGGCCUUGUACACACCGCCCGUCACACCAUGGGAGUGGGCUGCAAAAGAAGUAGGUAGUUUAACCUUCGGGGGGACGCUUACCACUUUGUGGUUCAUGACUGGGGUGAAGUCGUAACAAGGUAGCGCUAGGGGAACCUGGCGCUG